UGCUGUAAUUUGCAAUUUGAACAAUUUGUGUUAUCAGGACUUGUUUGAGGAGGUAUUUCAUUUUUGAAUUUUGAACAAAUAAAAAAAACGGUUGUAUAGAGAAUGUUAAGUCGUAAGUGUACCAGGAUUUGUAAUCAUAGUUAUUUGGAUUUUAGAAGUUGAAUUACAAUUUGAAUUCGUGAGUAAAGCAGCGUUGUUUGGGAUUAGAAUUUGUAGUCUCCUUUUCUGUUUGAAAGGAGACCAAAUCAACUCCUCCACCAUAAGAAUCAGCACUUAUCAAUUGAUUAUAUCCAAUUCGUUGGACUCGAGUGUGUCUUGAAUUCAUUUUCAUUUGGACGUGAAUAAAUACAAGGUCAAACACCUAGAAUUAGAACUCCUGGGUCGAACGGUAGUUCUGUUCUUAAUUUUUUUAAGGAAGGCCCAUUCUGUUUUCCGACAAGAGAUCACACGCUGCACGAUGGAGGUGUGGACAAUACGAAAGAUCAAAUUCUAAAGGAACUAAUACAUCAUCGGAAAGUGAUAGGAGCAUUCAGUGUGGACCAGAUAUUUGAAUUUCCGAGAAAAAAAAAAAAAGUGAAGAAAAGGAAAUUGUUUGAAGUCAAGCCAACUCCUAUCAUUGACCUACAGGAGGACUUCAGGAACUAAAAUAGUUAUUAGCUUUCGAGUCUCUAGAGUUGACGCAAGUUAACAAAAAGCCUUUUACACAGACCCUCCUUUGGUAAACUUUAAAGUCACCGACCACAAAGCAGUUGCAAUUGGCUGGGAUUCUUUCAAGCUUAAAUAGCUUGAUUCUCAGAGAGGAGAACCCGUCGAGGUCACAAAGCGAGGCUCGGCAAACCCGUCCUCAGGGAUUCCUGAAAACGGGAAAAUAAACGUAAAAGCUUUGGUGGAAAUCAUACUUCCAGCUUUCACCUUGUUCCAAA